UUGAACGCUGGCGGCAUGCCUUACACAUGCAAGUCGAACGAAGCCUUCGGGCUUAGUGGCGCACGGGUGCGUAACGCGUGGGAAUCUGCCCUUUGGUUCGGAAUAACAGUUAGAAAUGACUGCUAAUACCGGAUGAUGACUUCGGUCCAAAGAUUUAUCGCCAAGGGAUGAGCCCGCGUAGGAUUAGGUAGUUGGUGGGGUAAAGGCCUACCAAGCCGACGAUCCUUAGCUGGUCUGAGAGGAUGAUCAGCCACACUGCGACUGGGACACGGCCCAGACUCCUACGGGAGGCAGCAGUGGGGAAUAUUGGACAAUGGGCGAAAGCCUGAUCCAGCAAUGCCGCGUGAGUGAUGAAGGCCUUAGGGUCGUAAAGCUCUUUUACCAGGGAUGAUAAUGACAGUACCUGGAGAAUAAGCUCCGGCUAACUCCGU
rnacentral:rRNA from 1 species